AAUCUUGCGCAAUGGGCGAAAGCCUGACGCAGCAACGCCGCGUGGGGGACGAAGGCCUUCGGGUUGUAAACCCCUUUCAGCAGGGACGAAAAUGACGGUACCUGCAGAAGAAGCCCCGGCCAACUACGUGCCAGCAGCCGCGGUAAUACGUAGGGGGCGAGCGUUGUCCGGAUUUAUUGGGCGUAAAGAGCUCGUAGGCGGUUUGGCAAGUCGGGUGUGAAAACUCCGGGCUCAACUCGGAGACGCCACUCGAUACUGCCAUGACUCGAGUCCGGUAGGGGAGUGCGGAAUUCCUGGUGUAGCGGUGAAAUGCGCAGAUAUCAGGAGGAACACCGGUGGCGAAGGCGGCUUCCUGGACAACUACUGACGCUGAGACGCGAAAGCGUGGGGAGCAAAC
rnacentral:rRNA from 1 species